CUUCCCGUAGGGGGACCUGCGGAGGGAUCAUUACACAAAUAUGAAGGCGGGCUGGAACCUCUCGGGGUUACAGCCUUGCUGAAUUAUUCACCCUUGUCUUUUGCGUACUUCUUGUUUCCUUGGUGGGUUCGCCCACCACUAGGACAAACAUAAACCUUUUGUAAUUGCAAUCAGCGUCAGUAACAAAUUAAUAAUUACAACUUUCAACAACGGAUCUCUUGGUUCUGGCAUCGAUGAAGAACGCAGCGAAAUGCGAUAAGUAGUGUGAAUUGCAGAAUUCAGUGAAUCAUCGAAUCUUUGAACGCACAUUGCGCCCUUUGGUAUUCCAAAGGGCAUGCCUGUUCGAGCGUCAUUUGUACCCUCAAGCUUUGCUUGGUGUUGGGCGUCUUGUCUCUAGCUUUGCUGGAGACUCGCCUUAAAGUAAUUGGCAGCCGGCCUACUGGUUUCGGAGCGCAGCACAAGUCGCACUCUCUAUCAGCAAAGGUCUAGCAUCCAUUAAGCCUUUUUUUCAACUUUUGACCUCGGAUCAGGUAGGGAUACCCGCUGAACUUAAGCAUAUCAAAGGCCGGGAGGAAUA
rnacentral:rRNA from 1 species